rnacentral:rRNA from 1 species
UUGAAGAGUUUGAUCAUGGCUCAGAUUGAACGCUGGCGGCAGGCCUAACACAUGCAAGUCGAACGGUAACAGGAAACAGCUUGCUGUUUCGCUGACGAGUGGCGGACGGGUGAGUAAUGUCUGGGAAACUGCCUGAUGGAGGGGGAUAACUACUGGAAACGGUAGCUAAUACCGCAUAACGUCGCAAGACCAAAGAGGGGGACCUUCGGGCCUCUUGCCAUCAGAUGUGCCCAGAUGGGAUUAGCUAGUAGGUGGGGUAACGGCUCACCUAGGCGACGAUCCCUAGCUGGUCUGAGAGGAUGACCAGCCACACUGGAACUGAGACACGGUCCAGACUCCUACGGGAGGCAGCAGUGGGGAAUAUUGCACAAUGGGCGCAAGCCUGAUGCAGCCAUGCCGCGUGUAUGAAGAAGGCCUUCGGGUUGUAAAGUACUUUCAGCGGGGAGGAAGGGAGUAAAGUUAAUACCUUUGCUCAUUGACGUUACCCGCAGAAGAAGCACCGGCUAACUCCGUGCCAGCAGCCGCGGUAAUACGGAGGGUGCAAGCGUUAAUCGGAAUUACUGGGCGUAAAGCGCACGCAGGCGGUUUGUUAAGUCAGAUGUGAAAUCCCCGGGCUCAACCUGGGAACUGCAUCUGAUACUGGCAAGCUUGAGUCUCGUAGAGGGGGGUAGAAUUCCAGGUGUAGCGGUGAAAUGCGUAGAGAUCUGGAGGAAUACCGGUGGCGAAGGCGGCCCCCUGGACGAAGACUGACGCUCAGGUGCGAAAGCGUGGGGAGCAAACAGGAUUAGAUACCCUGGUAGUCCACGCCGUAAACGAUGUCGACUUGGAGGUUGUGCCCUUGAGGCGUGGCUUCCGGAGCUAACGCGUUAAGUCGACCGCCUGGGGAGUACGGCCGCAAGGUUAAAACUCAAAUGAAUUGACGGGGGCCCGCACAAGCGGUGGAGCAUGUGGUUUAAUUCGAUGCAACGCGAAGAACCUUACCUGGUCUUGACAUCCACGGAAGUUUUCAGAGAUGAGAAUGUGCCUUCGGGAACCGUGAGACAGGUGCUGCAUGGCUGUCGUCAGCUCGUGUUGUGAAAUGUUGGGUUAAGUCCCGCAACGAGCGCAACCCUUAUCCUUUGUUGCCAGCGGUCCGGCCGGGAACUCAAAGGAGACUGCCAGUGAUAAACUGGAGGAAGGUGGGGAUGACGUCAAGUCAUCAUGGCCCUUACGACCAGGGCUACACACGUGCUACAAUGGCGCAUACAAAGAGAAGCGACCUCGCGAGAGCAAGCGGACCUCAUAAAGUGCGUCGUAGUCCGGAUUGGAGUCUGCAACUCGACUCCAUGAAGUCGGAAUCGCUAGUAAUCGUGGAUCAGAAUGCCACGGUGAAUACGUUCCCGGGCCUUGUACACACCGCCCGUCACACCAUGGGAGUGGGUUGCAAAAGAAGUAGGUAGCUUAACCUUCGGGAGGGCGCUUACCACUUUGUGAUUCAUGACUGGGGUGAAGUCGUAACAAGGUAACCGUAGGGGAACCUGCGGUUGGAUCACCUCCUU